GGCAUCUGGAUUUUGCCCGGUUUCCCCAUUUUAAAGGUACCUAUUUGAUUAUUCUUUGAUUUGGUUAUUUGGGUUGUGUUGAAUUCGGAUCUAAUUUCGACAAAGUUUGCAACUUUUGAGGUUUGCGUUGUGUUAUUUUGAUUGGUUGUUGGCUGAAAUUCGGUUCUUUUGAUUUGGUUUUGGUGAAAUUGUUUCAAUCGUCGUCGGGAUUGGUGUUCGGGGAUAUUAUGGUUCUCUGUGGUUUUGAUAGAGUUGUAAUAAAUGGAGGAUCUUAGUGAAGUUGAUGAACAUGCUUGUGAUUGUCGGCUCGAAGGAAAUUAUAUGGUGUGAUCAAUACUAUGUGUAACAAAGGAAUUGCCUGCUUGAGCGACUCUGACUCCGAAAACCCAAUUGAUCAUCAGGCUGUAUACUUGAUGGAUAGCCCUUCCGCUACCCCUCACUUUGGUUCUAAUUCCACCGCUGUUUCGUCCCCCAAUUCGAACGCGGAAAACCCGCGUGUUAAGUUUCUGUGUAGUUUUUCGGGGAGUAUAUUGCCCCGCCCACAAGAUGGGAAGCUCCGUUAUGUGGGAGGAGAGACGCGAAUUGUGAGUGUUCCACGAGAUAUCAAGUUUGAUGAGUUGAUUAACAAGAUGAGGGAGCUUUAUGAAGGUGCGGCAGUGCUCAAGUAUCAGCAACCCGAUGAGGACCUUGAUGCUCUUGUCUCGGUUGUGAACGAUGAUGAUGUGACUAACAUGAUGGAAGAGUAUGAUAAGUUGGGAUCUGGCGAUGGUUUCACUAGGCUCAGGAUUUUUUUGUUUUCGCAUCCCGACCAAGAUAGCUCAUCGCACUAUGAGGGUGAGGAAAGGGAUAAUGAGAGGAGGUAUGUCGAUGCUCUCAAUAAUUUAAAUGAUAGCUCCGAAUUCAGGAAGCAAUAUCCCGAGUCCCCUCUUAUUAAUCCGGUUGAUGAUCUCCAUAUAGCGGAACAAUUUUUUAGUCCAAUGAGUCUUGAGGGUGGCCUUCACAGUCAGAGAAAUUGUGAUAUAUCCAUGGCUCAAUACAACUUGCAUCAGCUCAAGAUACCUCAUGCAGGAUCGGGGCAACAUCAUCAACCGAUUAGUCAGAGGUAUAACGAAAUGGAAGCUCCUUGGAGUCCUGCAUACUAUUCUCCCAGACACCAUGCGCACCUUGAUCCAAGACCAAUGGCUGAGUUUCCUUCCUCUCCUUCCUCUGCACGGUACUGUAUGCCGUUUCCAGAUGUACCUGAUAAAUGUUUAGAUAGAAUGCCUGAAGAAUAUGCACGACAGCCAUUGAAUCAUCAGCCUCCAUAUGAACAUCAACCACAGUAUUCUGAGAAUGUUGUAUGGCUUCCAAGUGGAGCAAUAGGUGGUGAAAAGUCAGGAUUUCCAGGUAACAUUUUUCAUGGAAACAAUGCCGUCGAAGGAAACAGUAUUUGUGAGCACUGCCAGAUGACUUUCCAGAGAAACCAACCACAUUUUGAGCAACCAGUCAUGGCAAAUGGAUUUCAACAUGUUGCUAAUCCAAGCGGCAAGUGUACUGCAAAUAGAGAGACUUUCGUGAUGAAUCCAGAUACAAAGUUGCACCAUGAAAUAUACGUAAGUGAACAGAAUACUGGUCCUCAUCGUUUUAGUGAGACUCCAAAUCAUGAAAGAGGCUGGACUCCACAUCCUCAUUUGAAUUGCCGGACUGAGGAAGCACGACCACAUGCUUCUGGAGCUGGGAAAUUGAAUGAUCCUUACAUUGUAGAUGGUCACAUAAAUUUGCCUCUUGGUCCUAAUACGGUGGAUGACCAUCAUGUCACUUCCAAUUAUGUUCAUCACCCAGCUGGACCUGAAAUGGGAAAUGAAGUGUUUCACGAACGAUCUGUGGCUGCUCCACCCCAUGUACACAUUGCUCCUGUAGAAGAGCGUGGUGUUCGUUAUGGAAAUUUUCCUUAUCCCUAUGGAGGAGAUAAUAUUUAUCGGGGGUCCCAUGGACAUGCACCUGGACAGGGGUCUCAUGGACAUGCACCUGGACAGGCAGUAUGGAGAAAUGUUCAGAGCCCAAUGCAUGCUGCGCCCCCUUACGAAGCAUCCAUUUCUGCUCCACAAGUGAAUGGUUCUGUUAAUGUGGGAUAUCUCAGACGUGAAGAUAGUCCAGGGUUUUCCAUUGCAUUAGACAAUCAAGAUAUUUGGGUUGACACCUCGCAGGAAAUGUUAGGUUUGGAAGGAAAAACUGUUCCUCCGGACUAUUCUUAUGGGAACGCUGUGAAGUUGAACCCAAACCCACUCUGUCAAGAAAAUCAUCAAGCAUAUCCUCCAGACCGCAUUCAACCUACACCUGAUAUGAUAAAUUAUGCUAUUCCUUUGGACCCCAGCACCGGAGUUGUAAGGUUGGAGGAAAAGAGUUCACCUGGAGUAAAUGAGGUGAAUCUUGUGGACAAGGUGGAGAACCCUGAAACAGAGGUUAUAAAUCCAAACAAUCGUUGUGAUAAAAAUGGUGGUGUGGUAUCUCUUGAGUCAAUAAAUUCGAAUUUUGCUAAGCUUGCAGAAGAAAGUUGUAAUGUUGGCAAAACAAGUGACGAGGAUCAGUCUACUCGUAAACUUUCAAAGCUUUCUGUUAACAAUUUGAGUUUCAUACCGGAAUUGAUUGCUUCUGUUAAAAAAGCUGCUCUAGAGGGGGCUGAGGAGGUGAAAACCAAUGCUGAAGAAAGUACUGACCCUGAGAAGAGUAGUUCAAUAGACAAAGAAGCAGCUGCAAAAAAUUUGGAACAACCGAACACUCCUGGAGACAGGGAAUUGGAUUCUGAUAGUGAUAAUCUAAACAAUUCCAAAAUUGAGCCAACAAAGGCCGAGGCAGAAGCUAUUGCCAAGGGAUUGCAGACAAUAAGGAAUGAUGAUCUAGAGGAGAUCCGAGAAUUAGGUUCUGGGACUUACGGGGCUGUGUUUCAUGGGAAGUGGAAGGGGUCUGAUGUAGCAAUAAAGAGAAUAAAGUCCAGUUGUUUUGCUGGGAGACCAUCAGAAAGAGAACGUUUGAUUGCGGAUUUCUGGAAGGAGGCUUUAAUACUGAGUUCAUUGCAUCACCCAAAUGUUGUUUCCAUGUAUGGUAUUGUGCGCGAUGGCCCUGAUGGAUCUUUAGCAACCGUGACCGAAUUCAUGGUUAAUGGUUCUUUGAAACAGUUUUUGCAGAAAAAAGACCGAACAAUUGAUCGUCGUAAAAGAUUGAUCAUAGCUAUGGAUGCUGCAUUUGGGAUGGAGUAUCUGCAUGGAAAAAAUAUUGUGCAUUUUGAUUUAAAGUGUGAAAAUCUAUUAGUAAAUAUGAGAGAUCCACAACGGCCUGUAUGUAAGAUUGGUGAUUUGGGAUUAUCCAAAGUAAAACAACAGACUUUAGUGUCUGGAGGUGUUCGUGGAACUUUGCCCUGGAUGGCACCUGAGCUUCUUAGUGGGAAAAGUAACAUGGUAACAGAGAAGAUUGAUGUGUACUCAUUUGGAAUUGUUAUGUGGGAACUGCUUACGGGAGAUGAACCAUAUAGAGAUAUGCAUUGUGCUUCUAUAAUUGGAGGUAUAGUGAACAACACUCUGCGUCCUCAAAUUCCCACGUGGUGCGAUCCAGAAUGGAAGUCUUUGAUGGAAAGUUGUUGGGCUCCUGAGCCUUCACAGAGGCCAUCGUUUUCUGAAAUCUCUCAGAAGCUAAGGAAUAUGGCUGCUGCAAUGAAUGUGAAAUAAUUCAUCUGGAUGCAGUUGAUUCACUUCUUGCAUUUGGCUUUUACCCGGAAAAUGCUUUCAUCAUACACGGAGCGGAGCCAUGAUGGCACGAUCAGAACGUUGAAGCUAGUUUGGUUUAGAUUGGAAUGGCGGUACCGCUAUCAAAGCUGAACCAAGGUCGCUUCCGAAGGAUGUGUAUAGACAUUACCGUGUUUUACAAGGUUGAACCGCUCUUGUUAUUCGUUUUCGGGGCCUCUGCUUAGUAUGCAAGAUAGAUGUUACAGCUAGGGACAUCUGUUUAUAUGUCCGACUUCUGUACGAAUGUAAAAAGCGUAUGAUUAUCUGUGAGAACCUCUUUACAGUGUUAAGUCUUGCUGCAGUAUUUAUUCUACCUAGAAAUAAAACACAGAUGUAAAAAAUUACUUGGAUAUUGAACGGAUUUGUACCCGGUACAGCGGCGGGAAUCUAAGUUGAUCGGAAAAUAUUUGGAGCUCAUUGUGAAAUUCCGAUGGAAAAUAUGAAUAAACUUGCGCGUUCUAUUC